GUCGGGGUGGCUCACCUGGUGAGAGCGCCUGACUCAUAAUCAGGAGGUCGCGGGUUCAAACCCCGCCCCCGACA
rnacentral:tRNA from 1 species